rnacentral:rRNA from 1 species
AUCUCGUUCCGUCGCAACCAACGGCUCAUACGGUGCUUGUAGACGAAGAUGGUGGCAACAAGACAGUAGCAGAAGAAGAUCGCACGUCAAAACUGGUAUGAUCCAGGAGUCCAUGGGCCUCCCCCUCUCUGUCGUCCAGUUGGUGAGCCGUUUUAAAUGAGGAGAUAUAGCCACAGAUGCGCAUCGUCGACAUAUCCAUCCCUAUUUACUGCUCCUCGCUCCAACUCUCUCGUCGCCGUCGUCCCCGCUCGCUCGCUCGCUGAGUUGGAAACGGGUGCACCAGCUGGUCUCGAGCCACCCCAGAGGUCUAUAUAAACACGCGCCCGCGGCACACCAACCCACACGUCGCCAGAGAGAAACUAACCGAGAAGAGAGAAGCACAUACACGCACGCACUAGUGAUCCUGUGAGGCGCGCUAAUGGCGGUGCAGGAGGAGGAGAAGGCCGCGGGCAGGCGCGCGGGGCCGCACCCGCUGCUGCGCGGGCGGAGGCGGGACGGCAAGUACACGCACGGGCUGCACCCGGCGCAGAUGGAGGCGCUCCGCGCCAUGUGCGGCGCCUUCAUCCCCUCGCUGCCGGCCGAGGAGGCGGACGCAGGCGGCCGCGCCGACCCGCCCGGCGGCAAGGACCUCGAGCGCUUCUACCUCGCCUCCGCCGCCGACUCCAACAUCCCCGACGAGCUCGUUCGUUUGUUUGUCCCCUUCUCCCAACAAAAAAAGGUCGCGGAGCUGAUGGUGACGCGGUGCAUACGGGAGGCGGCGCUGCUGGCGUGGGUGGUGCUGUGGGUGCUGAGCACGAGGGUGGGCACGCUGCUGCUGUGCGGCCGGCUGAGCUUCUGCGGCGCCGCCGGCGAGCUGCGCCGGUUCGCGGACAUGCCGGCGGAGCGGCAGGAGGCGGCGCUGCAGCGAUGGAACAGGACGCGCUGGCUCUUCCCGCUCAGGAUCGUCUUCGCCCUCGUCAAGAUCCUCUCCCACUACGUCUUCUACACCAUGGUCGACGAGAACUCAGAGAAUCCACACUGGAAAGCGAUUGGAUACAGCGUGGAAGAGUGGCAGAGAGACCGAGCUGAAGCGCCCGCCCCGUCGCGGCCGCUGGACAAUGGCGUCGUGGAAACCAGAGCGCUGAACGAUACCACCCUGCUCAGGUCGCUUGCGGACAGGGGGCUCUCCGUGAGGCCGGGCGCGCAACACACGGUGCAGUGCGACGCCGUCAUUGUCGGGUCCGGCUGCGGCGGGGGCGUUGCCGCCGCGAUGCUCGCGUCCGCGGGGUACAAGGUGGUCGUCGUUGAGAAGGGCAACUACUUCGCCGCCGAUGACUACAGCUCCGUCGAGGGUCCGUCCAUGGAGCGCCUCUUCGAGAAGGGCGGCAUCUUCUGCACGUCCAACGUGACGACCAUGGUGUUCACGGGCUCCACUGUCGGCGGCGGCUCGGCGGUGAACUGGUCGGCCUGCAUCCGCACUCCGGGGGAGGUCUUGCAGGAGUGGUCCCGCGACCACGGGGUCCCGUUGUUCGCGGGCCAGGACUACCAGCAGGCCAUGAACGCGGUGUGUGACCGGCUCGGCGUCACCGACGAGUGCCUGAAGGAAGGGUUCCAGAACAAGGUGCUGCGCCGAGGGUGCCAGGCACUCGGGCUGCCUGUCGACGCCGUGCCGCGCAACUCGUCCAAGGGACACUACUGCGGGAGCUGCAACUUCGGCUGCCCCACCGGUGAUAAGCGCGGCACCGACACGACGUGGCUCGUCGACGCCGUCAAGCACGGCGCGGUGAUCCUGACCGGGUGCAAGGCCGAGCGCUUCAUCCUCCAGAGCAACAGCGGCAAGGACGGUCGGAGCAAGAAAUGCGUCGGCCUGUUGGCGACGUGCAUGAGCAACGGCAUCACCAAGAAGCUGCGCAUCGAGGCCAAGGUGUCCAUCUCGGCCUGCGGGGCGCUCAUGACGCCUCCGCUGCUGCGCAACAGCGGGCUGAAGAACCGGCACAUCGGCCGGAACCUACACCUCCACCCGGUGUCCAUGGCGUGGGGCUACUUCCCGGAGAACAAGCAGGCGGUGCCGAUCACCGGCAAGUCCUACGAGGGCGGUAUCAUCACGACCAUGCACCGCGUCACCGCGCGCACCAUCAUCGAGACGCCGGCCCUAGGGCCGGGGGCCUUCGCCGCGAUGGUGCCGUGGGAGUCGGGCCGCGAUAUGAAGGAGCGCAUGAGCCGGUUCGCGCGCACGGCGCACGCGUUCGCCCUCGUCCGCGACCGCGGCACGGGGUUCGUGGACUGCGAGGGCCGCCUGCGCUUCACCCCCAGCCGCGACGACACCCGCGAGCUCCGCAACGGCCUGCGCCACGUGCUGCGCAUCCUGGUGGCCGCCGGCGCGGCGGAGGUGGGCACGCACCGCAGCGACGGGCUCCGGCUGCGGUGCAAGGGCGUGCGCGACGAGGACCUGGAGGCGUUCCUGGACGAGGUGACCAUCGAGAAGGGGCCCAUGCACUCGACGGCGGACAAAUGGGGGGUCUUCUCCUCGGCCCAUCAGAUGGGCAGCUGCCGCAUGGGCUCCAACCCCAAGGACAGCGCCGUCGACGGCAGCGGCGAGAGCUGGGAGGCCGAGGGCCUGUACGUCUGCGACGGCAGCCUCCUCCCCACCGCGGUCGGCGUCAAUCCAAUGAUCACCAUUCAGUCCGUCGCCUACUGCCUCUCCAAGGGCAUCGCCGAGUCCAUGACCAACGCUCAGAAGCACUACUAGAGUACUACAGUACGUACUAGUCGAUCGAGUCAGGGAUCGCCAACUCGUGGCGUCAGUUGGCCAGGUGCACUUGUCUGGCAUACCGCAUAAACUGUUGCACUGUAUAUAUAUGAUUCGUUAUUAAGAAAAUGUUAAAUACUCGCUUAUGUUUGUUACUCCUCCGUUUCAAAAUAGAUGACCCAAAUUUAUACUAACUUUGUACUAAAAUUUGUACAAAGUUGAGUCAUCUAUUUUAAAACUGAGGUAGUACUUAUUGUUCCAUAAAUAUAACUCGGUUAUAAGAUUCUUUUUGAAAAGACCAGUUGUCCAUUUUUU